CUAUAACAUAACUCAUUACAGAGCUGUGUCAGCUGUGCUAAGAACACAUCGUUACCUUGCAUUCAGCCUGGCAAUUGCUGCUGGCUCGUUACCACACCAUAGUGAUACUGGCAUCUAUCUUCUCUCCUACAGAGUGGUGACCAUGGCACCAAGACACCAAGGACUCAGUGCUGUUUCCCCUUCUGGGAAAAUGCAUGGGAAACACGUGCAGGACCAUGGUACCAGCACCCUCACUGCUGUGAGCAUACCUAACAGCAAUGCUCAGACCUAACUGACCCAGAAUGCCAGAAUUUGUGUGCAGAGGGAAAAAAAGGAUGUUACAGGAAAACCCUUGAGGAGUCCAGAUGCAUACAGACACCGAGUUGAGGACCCACAACAAAAGAGGAAAAGUAAAAGAAAGUAAAGUCUAUAGAAAACAGUACAUCAUCACAGAUAUUGGGUAUCUCACUUGAGGAAUGUCAACAGUAUCUAACCAAGCACCUGAAGACAAUCACAAUCCAAAGUCAUUUAAAAAAAACAGCUGCUAGGUAAAUUAGAUUAAUAUAGAGUUAGAACAAUAUUUAUCCCUAGUUCAGGACUUAGUCCUAGCUAGACAGGGUUGUGGGCCAUCAUAUCUCAUUGAAUUAUCCACCAAAUGUUCAGCAUAAAGAAAAUAAAUUACUGUUUAACUUCUCA
rnacentral:lncRNA from 1 species